UGUUGAUGAUGAUAAAUCCAAAGGCUUGUUUCUCAAAACAUUCGCAGUGGCCGCCUAAGAGCUUUCGCCUUCGCCAGGCUUGAGAGCUUGUGCUGCUUUAUCCUUCCUUGGAUGUCUGAAGCC
rnacentral:snoRNA from 1 species